UUCCGGUUGAUCCCGCCGGAGGCGACCGCUUUGGGAGUUCGAUUAAGCCAUGCGAGUCGUGAGUCUUAGGGACUCGGCAUACUGCUCAGUAAUACGUGGAUAACCUGCCCUAUCGUCUGGAAUAACCUCGGGAAACUGAGAAUAAGGCCGGAUAGUUCACAAUGCCUGGAACGGUUUGUGAAUCAAGGUAGGAUGGGUCUGCGGCGUAUCAGGUUGUAGGGGGUGUAAAGGACCCCCUAGCCUUCGACGCGUACGGGUGUUGGGAGACAUAGCCCGGAGAUGGAUUCUGAGACACGAAUCCAGACCCUACGGGGUGCAGCAGGCGCGAAAACUUCACACUGCAGGAAACUGUGAUGAGGGAGCUCCUAGUGCAUACACUAUGUGUAUGUAGAUCCUACUCUUAACAAGUAGAGGGAAAGGGCUGGGAAAGACCGGUGCCAGCCGCCGCGGUAAUACCGGCAGCUCAAGUGGUCGUCGCUUUUAUUGGGCCUAAAACGUCCGUAGCCUGUUUGGUAAAUCUGUGGGUAAAUCAAUCCGCUCAACGGAUUGAAUUCUGCAGAGACUGCCAGACUAGGGACCGGGAGAGGUGUGGGGUACUCGAGGGGUAGGGGUAAAAUCCUGUCAUCCUUCGAGGACCACCAGUUGCGAAGGCGCCACACUGGAACGGAUCCGACGGUCAGGGACGAAGCCUAGGGGCACGAACCGGAUUAGAUACCCGGGUAGUCCUAGGUGUAAACGCUGUGAACUUGGUGUCGGGGGUCCGCAAGGGGUCCCCGGUGCCGGAGUGAAGAUGUUAAGUUCACUGCCUGGGGAGUACGGUCGCAAGGCUGAAACUUAAAGGAAUUGGCGGGGCAGCAC
rnacentral:rRNA from 1 species